CUAAAAUCGCGAGUUGGAUUCCGAUUCUGCGAGUUUGAGAAGAAAGUUUUUAGGGUUCACCAGAUUAGGGUUUUAGAGCUUUUCGUUAAACUCACUUCUUUUGUUCUCACUGUUCAUCUCCUUUCUCGUGCUCUCGCCGUCAAUCUCAUCGAUCUCGCCUCUGUCGCGCCAUUGUUCAUCAAGUUCACCCUCUGUCGCGUCGUCGAUCUCGCCCUCCGUCACACCUUCCUUGUCGUCGUUCGAUCUCGCUUCAUUCAUGCCGUCGCAGUUGAUUUCGCUGUCGCCAUCGAUCUGGC
rnacentral:lncRNA from 1 species